GAGAAAAAAAGGAGGCAGGUAUUCACAGGUCUCAGCUUUCGUCCUCUUCCCUCCUUCCUAUUGUUGCACAUUCCCUCACUGAGAGAGGAAAUCAUUUUUCAAAGACCCAGGACUUUUAGCUCACACACAGAGAAUCUGCUAGCUUUCUUUCCUUCGCCCAGGGAUCCCCGUCUACCUGCCAUAUCUCCACCAUGACUUCCUUCCCUCUUCCCCAACCGAGAGGCUUCGACCUCAGCCUGCCGACAUGUGGAGAGAUUCAAUGCAGCGACCACGGUUCCUGUCUGAGUGAAUUGGGGGGCGGCACCGGGUUCGUGUGCAGCUGCGACCUGGGCUACAAAGGCGAGGCCUGCGAGGAUACGGUGAACGGGGCGCUGAGCCUCCCGCUGACCCUCAGCGUGCUGGCCGUCAUCUUCGGGGUGCUCAUGGUGGCUUUCUUAGUUGCCAAGAUAAGGCAGAAGCAGAAGAAGAGGAACAGGAAACAACAGGCAGCAAAACAAGGCUACAACAUUGCUGUGUAAUUUGGAUGACUCCAUUAUCUCCGAGGUCAAACAUGGCAUUGUCGCCAGUGAUACGCUUGAGCUUCCACCAGCAUUCUUCUGCAGCACGCUUUGUUGAAUUUAGUAAAAAAGGACAGAUCAGAUCCACCAUUCUUUCUUGAUGACCGGUGGCCCCUCUUCUACGACUGAUGCUGCAACAUCAAAGAAACCCAAAUAUUGAACUGAACUUUAAAAGGAUUGACAGAGACACAACUUCACUGCUUUGUUUCCCGUGUAUCAUUGGACGAUGACAGGCAAGUCAUUCAUGUCAAGAGGCCAGCGUGUAUCAAAGAAAGGCAACAGGAGACUGACUAACAGUAUGCAUUUGGCACCAAACUGGAUUUGGGCCAUUCAAAAAUGCUCCUUGAAAACACAGCAGCCACCUUUAAACUGUUGUCUACAUCUGAGAAUGAGCUUUUGACACUACCAUUAGUUUUUUUAGAAGCACAAUACAAUGUUUGAGAUGUCCUUGUUAGGGCCCUGCAUUCAUCUCCAGCUUUGUAGGUUUGUUUGAAUAUUUAUAGCAUUUUGAUGAGGUACUAGUGCUCAAGAACAAUGAUUACACAUAAUACAAAAUCCUAACCAUCAAUCACAUCAUUACAUGCAACCAUUUUGGUGUAGUAGUAGUUUUCACACUGAUUGCAUUUUUCACAUUGCAAGAAAUGAACAGAUUAAAUGAUCGUGUCUUUGGCAGUUUAAAUAGAAAUGUCACGAUCUGCUUACCGCACAUUUGUACUUCCUUAAUCACAUUUCAUAUAGCUUAUUUCCAUAGAUGAGCCUAUUGUGUCCUCUAACACUGGCUACCUCAGGUAAAAUAAUGCAAAUCAGUUGCUCUCUGACGCAGCAGUUGCUAAAUGCAGAGAAAGCUGAGCCCAACAGUAAUGAUUCUUGCUGGCCUGUUUUUGUACUAUCUGCUAAAAGGAGUGACUUUUUACUGGUAUUAAAAACAAAAAUGCUUUCCUCAGCAAUCAAUUUCACACAGGGUAAGACGGGGAUAUGAACCCGAUUGGAUUAGUCGUUUAUUUGAGUCACUCUGAGUAAGAUAGCCAGUGUUAAGAGCUUGUUAUGCUGUAUUGUCUAUUUUUUUCCUACACUGCUGAUUUAAUUAAUGUUUGAUAUGCUUUGUAGUUCUUGACAGCCUAUAGCAUCAACAAUACCCAACACUUUAUGAUAUUGUCUAUCCCUCUGUUUUUGUGUUGCUGGAUUACACAACAAUUCCAUGUCGUCAGACAUGUUUCAACAAGCUGAUCUGCUCAUAGAAGGUGAUUAUUUAAUCGUGUGUGUACAAAACUGGCUGAAAAGUAUGUCAUUCUUCUCUGUCAUAAGUUAUAGGUCAGAAUGACAAAGGUAUACUCUUUUGAUAUAUCUAUUUGAAAUAUGUAUGCCUCAUUUAUUUAAGAGAUGGAAACAUUUUAAAAUGUUUGCACAACAAAUCUGCAGUAAACCACCAAAACUAAGGAUUGUAUUGCUGAUUUUCCGCUCUACUAAACACAAUAGCUGGAGAAAAAGUGCCUUAAGUGUACUGAUCAAGAGGAGUCCUUUUGAAAGGUGAAUAUACUAUGUCAAUAACCUGAAACGUGUGCGCACACCUCCUCAGAUCCUGUUUUACUUCAUUUUAAAAUUCUUCUCUUGUCAUAAAUGUUUGACACAGACAGUUUAAAACAAAAGCCUGAUAUAUCUAUCUUAUAUAUAUAUCUAAGAUAUAUAUAUAUGUAAGAUAUAUAUAAGAUAUCCCUUGUAUUUUGACUAUAUAUAAUAAUUGUUUGUUGUGUUUAUUUUGUGUUGCUUUUAUUAUUAUCACUACUGCUGAUAGGUGCAGAAUAUGUAUGUGCAACUGAUGUUUACUUAGUUUGUAUGUUACAUUACAUUUAGCUGACGCUUUUAUCCAAAGCGACUUACAAUAAGUGCAUUCGACCAUGAAGAUACAACCUUGAAGAAAACUGAAUCAUAUAAGUACAUCAGGUUUCAUAGAGCCAAACCAUUUCAAGUGCUACUCAACUGGCUUUAGAUAAGCCAGUCCUUUGUUAGUAUAUAAGUGCUUUGUUAAUAUAUAAGUGCUUUGUUAGUAUGUAAGUGCUUAGUUGGUAUCUAAGUGCGGGUUUUUGUUUUGUUUUGUUUUAUUGCUCGAAGUGGAGUCGAAAGAGAUGAGUUUUCAGUCCGCGCCAGAAGAUGUGUAAGCUUUCUGCUGUCCUGAUGUCAAUGGGGAUCAUAUUGGCUCUAGCUAUGCAAGCUGAUCUGUGGUUAACUGAUUUAUGACUCGGUACCCCUAAUUAACAAUUUCACUGGCAUGUAUAUCAUAUCUUUACUGCACAUACACUUUUUGUUCUGUAUGUAUUUUGCUGUAUAUUCACCAACUUUCAAAUAAAAUGUACAAAACUCACAACA